CCCAGACUUAGGUACAAGGUGGAGCAGCGCAGCUGCGUGUGGCACCCUGGAAAAUUCUAGCUUCACGCUUUGGCUAGGAUGUGAGUCACACACUCACAGAUAUAUUGUAAAGCCUUCCAAAUCAAAUGACUCUUGGCAAAACUGACUAAAUAGCAACACAAAAGGUCUAAGGCCGAGGUGGCAAAGCUGGGAAAGAACAGAAGAAAAUCUGGGCCCGGAAUGGUGGAUUCUAGGAUGCUGUUAAUCUAUCUUCAAAAGCUGAUGGAAACCAGCUACAAAGAGAAUGUUGAUAUCUGGUCAGUGGGCUGCAUCAUGGGAGAGCUGGUGAAAGGUUGUAUGAUAUUUCAAGGCACUGAUCGUAUCCUUCCCGGGUUCCUUCCUGGCCAUGGUUUCCAUUAAUACCAAAGGCAGCAGGAGCUUGAAAGGAAAAUGCUAUAACUCUAGAUUGUAUUCUAAGGGGGUCUUGACUAUGUUUGUUAAAUUACUUACUGUCACACACCAAAUGGUUCACUUUUAUGUUUUCUUUUUUACUUGACUACCUAUAAUGAUUUUAUUGAGGUAUAGAAUUAAGUUAAACCAAUUUAUAUCAGUUCUUAUUUUUAUGAAAAAUAGCUUAUAAGAAAUGCUUUUACUCUUUGACAAAUGUAUUCUGAUAUUUAAAUGAAAAUACUGUUAAUUCAGUUAAUUUAUCUAGAAAUUUGUUGUCUAAAUUUAAUAGGCCAAUAUUCUUGUAUAAUUUGUUUAAUAUACUAUUUCAUUAGUUACCAGGAUGCAUUAAAGUAUUUUCCUCCAAAGUAAGAAUGGAAGCACACUACAUAAGACCUAAAUGCAAAAGAUUAAAGUGAAAAGUUUGUGAGGGGAAAAAAAAAAAAAAAAAGCUGGUGGAAACCAGUUAAAGGGAUAAAAAAGGGGUACAAAAAGCAUCACCAUCACUAGUUUCUUCUCAGUAUACACCCUUUCAAUAAAAUGCAUUUUUACUUCUAGCUCUAAAAAGUUAUUGUGACCAAUGAAUAUCAUGGAAGACACCACGUGCUAUAACAUUUGGCAAGGUAUGUGAAAGCCAUGUGCUGGCCAUCCCGCUCUCCUGUCAACAGGAACCUGGAAAAGGGAGCCAAGCACAUGACGAAGGCUGGAGGCACCGUCUCACCCUUUGCCACAGCAGCACAUGUAUGGGACCUCGGAAACUGAGAGCCAGGAGUGACUCAGCUGCUGUCUGGGAGAACCCCUUCAUCUGCAGAGGAGGAGGCUGGGGCCCAAGGAGGUCCAACAUCAUGACCCUGUCACAUGACCAUUUGCUUUGCUGACUGACCAUCAGCUUAGCGACUGGCCACGGUGAGAAGGGCCGUGAUCAACCAUCUCUGCACUCUGUCAAAGGAUCACACGGUGCAGAAGAGGAUUUCAGACAGAAAACCAGCUGGUAUCUUUGUUUGAACCUUGCGGAGAUAUAUGAAGAUCCACCAGGACAGCAAAAUUCCCACACUGAAAGACAUUAAUGGUAGACUUAGCUCAUGCCCAGCAAACAAUGAGAGACAAUCUCACGAAUUCCUAUGUGGUUGCUCACGAUGAAAUGGCAACAAAGUUCACUACUGGACAGAAACGUUAAUAUGGGGCAGGGUAAAACUCAUAACCUGUUGCUUUUUUCAAGUUUAAUAUUUAUGAUAGAAAUGCUAGGGAGAAAUUUAAUUUUAAUAAGGAUUAGAAAGACAAAAUGUCUAUCUCUGGGCCGCAUCUUGAAGGGGGAUGUCCAGAAAUCCAGCAGCAGUCGUAAGGCUAUUAAACACUGAGAACAGUUAAAUAGGUCAGUACUAGUAGGCUCUAGAAAAGAGUGAAUCCAUGGACAGCCAGGGGAAUUCUUUCUUCCGGAUAGGAGAGAACAGAACUCGCUGCAUUUUUAGACAGAGAAAAGGAUUGGCUGGUACCAUACAUCUUGGACUAGAACCAGAAGCACAGACAAAUGAAAAAGAACCAAGAAGAGGAAGGUAGAUGCUGAAUGACAGUUAUCAAAGCUAAAUAAGUUUCAUUAAAACAUGCUACAAAACUGUGCAAAGCCCGUCUCCUUUCUUAUUUGAUAGGCUAGUGCUGUCUAGCACUUUGGAAAAAAUGGAAAUCUUCUCUAUCUGCACUGUUCAACAGGGAAGCCUUAUGUGGUUAUUGAGCACUUGAAAUGCGGCUAUUGUGACUGAGAAGCUGAACUUUUAAUUUUAUUUCAUUUCAAUCUAAUUUAAAUAGCCACAUGUGGCUAGCAGCUCUGCGGCAUGGCUACAGACCUUGUAAAAACGUGUAGCUUCAUAAACCCUCACACUGUAUGAGUAAUCUGAGAAUCUCAAGGUAACUAUGGACGAAUUAACUUAGAGAGGCACUGUGGAUUGGUUAUGGCCAGCAGGGAAAGUCACAUUUGUACCUCUUUGGCUAAACAAUUUUUUAAAAACUUCUGUGCUAUAAUUCAGUGGUAAAAAAUAUAUAUAUAUUUUCAACAAAUGGUAUGAGAAUACCAAUUAUAAUACGGAAAGAAAAUGAAACUUGACACCCACUUCAUACUGUACACAGAAACUGACUUGAGAUGAAUCACAGACAUAAACGUAAAAAACCAAAUCUAUCUUCCCAAACUUGGAGUAGGAAAAGAUCUCAUUAGACAGGAUCCAGAAAGCACUAAUUAUAAAAGAAAAAAUCAUUACCUGGACUUGAUCAAAAUUAACAACUUCUGCUCCUCAAAAAACACCAUGGGGGGAAUGAAUUGGGAGACUGGGAUACCAAAUUGUACGCUCUAAAUAUAUGCAGUUUAUUGUAUGUUAACUGUAUCUCAAUAAAGGUUCCCCCCCCAAAAAAAACCCACCAUGAAUAAAAUGGAUACGUAUGCCAAAGACGGGGGAAAAUAUUCAUAAACGCAUGUCUGACAUAAAGGAUUGGUGUCCGACAUAUGUAGAAAAUACUCCUACAAAUUGAUGUUAAAAAAACAAACAACCCAAGCUUGAAAAGACACUUCACAAUUAAGAUAAACAACUGGUGAAUAAGCAGGUGAAAAAAAGUGUACAACAUCAUCGCUCAUCAAGCAAAUGCAAAUUAACACCACCAAGGGACACAACUACACACCUAGCACGGCAACUGCAGUGAAAAAGACUAAGGCACACCAAAUGUUGGUAAGAGUGCGGAGUGACCCAAACGCACACACUGCUAGUGGAAAUGGAAAAGGGUUCAACCACCGUGGCAAAUGUUUGUCAGGUUCCUGUAAUAAAACACACAUUUAUUUACCAUCCAGCCAGCAAUUCCACCUCAGGUAUUUACCUGCAAGGGAUGAAACGUGUACACAAAGACAUGUAUACAAAUGUGCAUGGAAGUUUUAUUGGCAAGAGUGGAAACAGAAGACAACCCCAGUCUCUCACCAGGGGUUGUAUAUUCACACAACGGAAUGCUCCUCACCAAACUACUGACCUGCUCAACGUGGACUAAUCUCAAUAGCACUGCACUGAGCAAUGCCAGGCUAAAACAUGUACUAUAAGCUUCCAUAUACAUAAAGUUCUAGAAAAGCAAAAUUAAACCUAUGGUCAAAAUAAUCAGCACAGUGACUGCCUAGGGAGAAACUGACUGGUGAUGGGAACGUUCUCUGUCUUGUUACACAGCUAAGGUCAGUUCAUUUCCCUGUACAUACGUUACAUAUCAGUAACAAACAAUUUUUUAAAUACUAUGUAAAAAUACACUCAUAUUUGUUGACAGUUAUGUAAAAUGUAUUAUGUCCCUGAAAAUAUGUGGGUAUUUUGGGGGAGACCAAAGUGAACUUCCCUGAGUAAUAAAUCACAAAGUAUAAUGAACGAUGGUCUCCUACAAUGUCAAACAGUGCAGUGUCACCCACAGAACUACA